AUACAUUAUUUGUUUUCUUUAACUUUACUAGCAGUGUCUGAUUACUUCUGUUUAACUUUUCAAAUGGGUAGUGCUAUGGCUGCUUGUGAUUGUAGUAAUUCGAAUCCUGCUUUCCCCAAAUUUGUCUUGAUUAAGGUUUUUGGUCAUGUUGAUUCAAGUUUUUAUUUUUAUUUAUAUCUAUAUUUGGUUGUUGAAGCAUGUAUGUUUCUGGAUUUGUUCAUCUAUUUGUACAUUUAGUUUUCCUAGCUUGAUUCUAUUGCCACUUGUAUGCAUGCCAUCAUCAGCUCUUCAUUAUUACAUACACCUGAGAUUGAACAUGGAUCCAGGGUGGCGUGGCAUCAAGGUUAUUCUUUCUGAUGCCAAUGUGCUGGGUGAGGGGGAGCACAAGAUAAUGUCGUACAUUCGCUUGCAAAGAAAUCUACUAGGGUUUGACCUGAAUACACAACAUUGCUUGUAUGGGUUGGAUGCUGACUUGAUCAUGCUAGCACUGGCUACACAUGGAGUGCAUUUUGCAAUUCUUAGAGAGAGAAUAUCAAAAUGGGAGAUGAUCAAGGUUGAUCCGUUGCCAAUUACUCAAUCUGAUAAUAGAUGCAAGGGCUGAUGUCAGCCUCAUUGUAUUGAUUCAUUACCAAAAGGUAUAACCUGUGAGACCUCUAACUUAGAGAUGCGACCAUUAUGGGGUUUCCCAAAGAAAAAGGGGAACGCAUAUGCUUCGAAUAACUUACUGGCCAUUGCAGUUGGAAUAAAACAAAAAGAAAAUGUGAACUAGAUUGUUGAAAAGGGAAGUGGAUCCGUUGAUUCAGAUGUGACAUCUCCAAAGCAAAUCAAUCGAAAAUUGCUAUUGAAACAGCUAGCAAUAGACCUGUGUACUAGUGAGCGGAGGAUCCUAUUUCGCACCCAAUAUGUAAGCUAUGUAACUUCCUGACUAUGUUGCACUGAUGAUUCAUUCCAGGAUACACAGCACAAUUCAUCCCCACCACAUCAGUAUUAAAAGUAGUUAUUUUAGUUAGGAAAUUAAGAAUAAAAAAUUCCUAAGAGUCGUUGACACAUACAAUGCUUUUUGAAUUUGAUGGUUGAGUUAGAUGGAAUUGGUAUGACUCAACUUCAGUUUUCAGUUACGGGCUGGUAUUUUUGACAGUCUAAACCAUCACUUAGAAAGAGAAAACUUCAACUAAAAUGGGUUGCAUGGGAAAUUCACAUGCAACCCAGAUCACAUGGGUCAUGUGUCUAAGCAUAUAAGCCUUGCAUACGAUGGACUCCACCAUGAGUCACCAGUCACAAAAAUCAGGCUAGUCUACUCAUGAGGGCUGGUCGCCUUGUACAAGAAGAAUGGACAGUCUGAUUCAACAUACAAAUGAGUGCCUAUUUGUUGAGUGGACCAGUCUGAUUUUUGCAUCAGGUCAUCUUCAUGGUGGAUCCCACUGUUUACAGCUAGAUGUAUUACACUUGACACAUUGGCAAAUGAGCUUUGUUGCCUCUGAAGCUCACAUGCAACCAAUUGUAUGCAAUCAUACAGGUGUUGUCAACCCCAAGUUGUUUCCAGCAGCAAUGAGUAAAUCGACUGUAUUAUCAUACCAAGUGAUCGUUAUUGGCUGGCCCACAUUCUUUCACGGAUCAGAUCUUAUGCACAUUUGACACAUUGGUCGGAAAGAAA